UUUAAAUCACAAUGCCUAACUUCUUUGAAUUCCAAACCCUUUACUAGACUUAACACUUUUGUAUCCCCCUUAGGACUCUAAACUCUUACUCUCAUU
rnacentral:sRNA from 1 species